rnacentral:lncRNA from 1 species
CAAGUUCCUCUUUAAAACUAGCAAACAAAUUGGUGACGAAUCAAGCCUACUGACGAUCAAGUUAAACAAUUAUCUCAUUUCAUUUAUGCAAUUAAAAUUGUCUAUUUCAUUAUAGCUUAUUGUGUUUAUAAUAGUAGAAUUUUAGAUACUUUAAUUUUACACAACAAAUCUUAUUAUUGAGUUGGGCUGAACUUGGGCGCACAUUUUUCAUAAAUAUUUGUUCAGUUCAUCAAUGAGCAGUGACACAUGGACAAAAGGGGGGAAAGGCUUUAUAGUACAAAAAUGUAAAAAGGUAUUUAAUGAUUAAGCACAAUAUCACAAAAUCAAAAUUAAUCUUGUUUGUGAAAUAAGAAUCUCUUUACUUUCAUAAUGUUGAAAAAUGGUCUCUCACAGCUUUUGUUGUGUGUUCAGGAAUCUAGAAACAGGGUGCCAUGAUUACAUUAGGGGGGGACGUAUAAAAAAUUAAAGCAUCAACCAUAUAUAUAUAUAUGUAGUCCCAUGAAAAAGGGGGGGCAGACCUGCUAAAUUCUCCUUUAAUAAAAAAAAGACUGUGAAAUUUAUACAGAC